rnacentral:rRNA from 1 species
UAACGCGUGAGGAACCUGCCUCAAAGAGGGGGACAACAGUUGGAAACGACUGCUAAUACCGCAUAAGCCCACGGGUCGGCAUCGACCAGAGGGAAAAGGAGCAAUCCACUUUGAGAUGGCCUCGCGUCCGAUUAGCUAGUUGGUGAGGUAACGGCCCACCAAGGCAACGAUCGGUAGCCGGACUGAGAGGUUGAACGGCCACAUUGGGACUGAGACACGGCCCAGACUCCUACGGGAGGCAGCAGUGGGGAAUAUUGCACAAUGGGGGAAACCCUGAUGCAGCGACGCCGCGUGGAGGAAGAAGGUCUUCGGAUUGUAAACUCCUGUUGUUGAGGAAGAUAAUGACGGUACUCAACAAGGAAGUGACGGCUAACUACGUGCCAGCAGCCGCGGUAAAACGUAGGUCACAAGCGUUGUCCGGAAUUACUGGGUGUAAAGGGAGCGCAGGCGGGAAGACAAGUUGGAAGUGAAAUCCAUGGGCUCAACCCAUGAACUGCUUUCAAAACUGUUUUUCUUGAGUAGUGCAGAGGUAGGCGGAAUUCCCGGUGUAGCGGUGGAAUGCGUAGAUAUCGGGAGAAACACCAGUGGCGAAGGCGGCCUACUGGGCACCAACUGACGCUGAGGCUCGAAAGUGUGGGUAGCAAACAGGAUUAGAUACCCUGGUAGUCCACACCGUAAACGAUGAUUACUAGGUGU